CUUAUAAGGUGUUUGAACACAGUUGUGUGGCCACAGUGUGUGAAAAUAACCAGCCUAUAAUGGUAAAAAUCCACCCACUCAUUGUUUUAUAAUCCUAAUAAAUCAUAAUCAGUCUCCCCAGCAGUUCCAGAUUUCUCACUACUGUGAAGUCAAACUCGGGGAAAGUCCCGCCCAUUUGUGACGCUCUCUGUCCUAUUAGUAUACACACAGCCCUGAGUGAGAAACAGCGGUCCGCCAUUACUGUUUUCUUGCUGUAGCUGCUGGAGGUACAAUGUCAGCGCCAAAGAACCAUUAAAAGUGUCAUGUGUUGGGAUGCACAAACGAACAAAGGAGUCUCCAUAGACCGCUGAGGACAUGGUGGUUAAAUUUCAUUUUCGAAGGAAAUGUCCCAGAAAAGUCCUAUACGUUUGUGUUAACAUUUUACGCCAGACUGCCUCAUAAACGUUGUGCAAAAAUUGCUUCUGAAAGAGGGAUCGAUACCAAUGCUUCUUGCGCAAACGUCCAGACUACAGACAAAACACCUUCCCAGCAGACUGAAACGCUGAUCCAUCCUGUCUGCAGCUCCACUGGCCUCUGCAAACAGCCAUCUAUCUCCUGAAAGCCAUGGUACACUCUGCCUGCCAACAGUAAUACAUUACAACCAGACAUCG
rnacentral:lncRNA from 1 species